rnacentral:lncRNA from 1 species
AAACCCACAACCAACCAACAACAACCACACACACACACACACACACACAGCAUGCUGGUGUCCCGUCCGCUCAGGAAGUUGUGUUUGUACGUCCAUUUUAGGAAAUGGGAUUCAGCUGGGCGCAGAGCUCGGAGGCCCUGAAAACACACGGCACGUUAGAGGAAGCUGUUGAAGCGCUGUUUGCUGGUGAAGACAGUAAUCCGGGGUCCUGCAGGUAAACGUCAGGAAAUGUUUCUCGCAGGUGGAAAGAUCACCGAAGAGACGUUCUGGUAUUUAAACCGUCUCACUUUGUCGGCUCUCCUCAGACGCCGGGGCCAGUUGGGUCAACACGGAGCAGCCGGUGGUGCAGGAAGAGAAGAAGAAGAAGAAGAAGAAGAAGAAGAAGAAGACGACGAUGAGGGCGAGUGGAUCGUCCGUCAAACUAGCCGUCCCAGAAUGCAACAGGUCAAAGAGUUUGAUGCUUUUGGCCACAGCAGAUCGAAAUCUCCGUCACCGACGCCUCAUUCAAGGAAUUCUGUGAAACCGGACCUUUUCUCCGUCUGGGUCGGAUCCUUGGCUCCUGCUGUCACGUACUCAACGCUGCACGAGCUGUUCAGCAGGUGAAGUCCCACAUCGGAGCUCCGUCACGUCUUUUAGCACUUUGUCAGAAUCACAUGUCACAUCAUAACGUUUUUAAUUCUUAUUAUCAGUUACAACAACCCUUACAGGAACAGCAUUCUAAUAAUAAACACCUCUGAUCAAAAACAAAAAGCUUUACAUUUUAUUAUCCUGGGAACUGUUUCACAGAACAUACCGAGUGUGUGGUGUUGUGGUGUGUGUGUGUGUGUGUGUGUGUAAGCACUUUACUUUUGUAUUAUUUCCUUUUAUGAGUUUAGUCAGUUAAGUCAUUAACAAGUCAUUAAAGAUGACAUAAAGGUUUAAAAGCGCUUCUAAAUUGUGAUGUUUUCAUGCCAUAAA